UACGUAGGGACCGAGCGUUGUCCGGAUUCAUUGGGCGUAAAGAGCGCGUAGGCGGUCCGAUAAGUCGGCUGUGAAAGUCAGGGGCUCAACCCUUGAAAGCCGGCCGAUACUGUCGGACUAGAGUCCGGAAGAGGCAAGUGGAAUUCCCGGUGUAGCGGUGAAAUGCGCAGAUAUCGGGAGGAACACCAAUGGCGAAGGCAGCUUGCUGGGACGGUACUGACGCUGAGGCGCGAAAAGCGUGGGGGAGCAAACAGGG
rnacentral:rRNA from 1 species